UGGUGGGUAACCCCCCUCCAAGGGCUUAAACAAAUGGUUGUUUGGGAGGGAUCUCCCCCCCCUUGGGGAUGGGGCCGGGCCCUAUUUCGUGCGGGGCGCAGCAGGUGGGAUUCUUGCCCAAUGGAGGAAAUUUUUGAUGCAGCGAUCCCGCUUAAAUAAAGAACGCCUUUGGGGUAGAAAGCUCUUUUGGCGGGGAAAAAAAAUGACUGUACCCGAAUAAGAAGGUCCGGCUAAUUUCGUCCCAGCAGCCGCGGUAAUACGAAGGGACCUAGCGUAGUUCGGAAUUACUGGGCUUAAAGAGUUCGUAGGUGGUUAAAAAAGUUGGUGGUGAAAUCCCAGAGCUUAACUCUGGAACUGCCAUCAAAACUUUUUAGCUAGAGUAUGAUAGAGGAAAGCAGAAUUUCUAGUGUAGAGGUGAAAUUCGUAGAUAUUAGAAAGAAUACCAAUUGCGAAGGCAGCUUUCUGGAUCAUUACUGACACUGAGGAACGAAAGCAUGGGUAGCGAAGAGGAUUAGAUACCCUCGUAGUCCAUGCCGUAAACGAUGUGUGUUAGACGUUGGAAAUUUAUUUUCAGUGUCGCAGCGAAAGCGAUAAACACACCGCCUGGGGAGUACGACCGCAAGGUUAAAACUCAAAUGAAUUGACGGGGACCCGCACAAGUAGUGGAGCAUGUGGUUUAAUUCGAAGAUACGCGCAGAACCUUACCAACACUUGACAUGUUCGUCGCGACUUUAAGAGAUUAAAGUUUUCGGUUCGGCCGGACGAAACACAGGUGCUGCAUGGCUGUCGUCAGCUCGUGUCGUGAGAUGUUGGGUUAAGUCCCGCAACGAGCGCAACCCUCACUUUUAGUUGCCAUCAUUAAGUUGGGCACUCUGAAAGAACUGCCAGUGAUAAGCUGGAGGAAGGUGGGGAUGACGUCAAGUCCUCAUGGCCCUUACGUGUUGGGCUACACACGUGCUACAAUGGUAUCUACAACAGGAAGCAAAACGGCGACGUUAAGCAAAUCCUUAAAAGAUACCUCAGUUCGGAUUGCACUCUGCAACUCGAGUGCAUGAAGCUGGAAUUACUAGUAAUCGUGGAUCAGCGUGCCACGGUGAAUGCGUUCCCGGGUCUUGUACACACCGCCCGUCACACCAUGGGAGUUGGUUCUACCUUAAGGCAAGGUUUCAAACCCUUGACCACGGUAUAGUCAGCGACUGGGGUGAAGUCGUAACAAGGUAACCGUA
rnacentral:rRNA from 1 species